UUAAGUUCAGCGGGUAUUCCUACCUGAUCCGAGGUCAACCUUUCAGAAGUUGGGGGGGUUUAACGGCAUGGCCGCGCCGCUCUCCGGUGCGAGGUUUCAAAAGAGCUACUACGCAGGGGAGGCUGCGGCGGGACCGCCACUGUAUUUCGGGGGCGGCGACCCGCUGCUAGGCGGGGCCGGUCCCCAACACCGAGCCCCCG
rnacentral:misc_RNA from 1 species